rnacentral:rRNA from 1 species
UGGGCUGUUCGCCCAUUAAAGUGGUACGCGAGCUGGGUUCAGAACGUCGUGAGACAGUUCGGUCCCUAUCCGUCGCAGGCGUAGGAAAUUUGAGAAGACCUGUCCUUAGUACGAGAGGACCGGGAUGGACGUACCUCUGGUGUACCAGUUGUUCUGCCAAGGGCAUGGCUGGGUAGCUAUGUACGGAAUGGAUAAGCGCUGAAAGCAUCUAAGCGCGAAGCCAACUUCAAGAUAAGAUUUCCCACCGCAAGGGUAAGACUCCAGAAAGACUAUCUGGUUGAUAGGUCGAAGGUGUAAGUGCAGCAAUGUAUUUAGCUUAUCGAUACUAAUAGGUCGAGGACUUGACCAAAUU